rnacentral:rRNA from 1 species
CCUACGGGAGGCAGCAGUAGGGAAUAUUGCUCAAUGGGGGAAACCCUGAAGCAGCAACGCCGCGUGGAGGAUGAAGGUUUUCGGAUUGUAAACUUCUUUUGUUAGAGAAGAUAAUGACGGUAUCUAACGAAUAAGCACCGGAUAACUCCGUGCCAGCAGCCGCGGUAAUACGGAGGGUGCAAGCGUUACUCGGAAUCACUGGGCGUAAAGAGCGCGUAGGCGGGAUAGCAAGUCAGAUGUGAAAUCCUAGGGCUUAACCAUAGAACUGCAUUUGAAACUGUUAUUCUAGAGUAUGGGAGAGGUAGGUGGAAUUCUUGGUGUAGGGGUAAAAUCCGUAGAGAUCAAGAGGAAUACCCAUUGCGAAGGCGACCUGCUAGAACAUAACUGACGCUGAUGCGCGAAAGCGUGGGGAGCAAACAGGAUUAGAUACCCUUGUAGUC